GUAUGGCUUAAACUUCAGUUACCACAGUAUAUUAACUAUGCAUAACCCCAUAAAGUACACACUUCACUGCUAGCUCUUUAGUCCAUGAAUCACUACACAAAUAAAAGAUGAUCAAUGACCAAUCACAUCACUUCUUUUGAAAUCUGCUGGUGAUUGGUCACCAUGCAUCAGUUAAAAGGAGUAAGCAUGUGGUUGUGUUGCUUCCUUGUCUUCAGUGAUAAACCCACAUGACAUUUCGCAAAACUAGAUAAUAGGAAGUGGAAACUGACCAACAAAGAUCAAAGUCCAGAGGAGAACAGAAAGUGACAAGGUAAAGAGUAAAGUUUGCAUGAAAAGUAAAUGGAAUUUUAGAAGGUAUAGAUGUGGCCAUCUCCACCGUGUAUCCACCACGUGGACACUGCAAUCAGGGGAACUUAGUGACCGAGAACUUACCGACAUGAAUGAGGAGAGUGGUUGUGACAAAAAGGAUGAUGAUGUCCCAGAGGAAGUGAUGCUGGCAAAAAACUUUACAUUAGAGGAACUCUUGGAGAUAUUUCAUGACAUUGGAAGCAUAAAGAAUAGAGUUCAAAGCCCAUCCAAACUUCGAAAAGAUUAUGAUAAUUCACCAAGACAUAGCAAAGAUACUCACUCCAUGUUGUCAAUUAUCACAUGAGAAGAAGGCAAGCACUGUUUAAACUACUUUUGGCAAAACAAGAAUGAUAAUAGGCAUGUCUCAAGGUUGCUGUGUGGACCAGCUAAAGCCCUAUGUAAGAAAGCACUUCACAUACAGAAGAGGGGCCUACAAAUUUGAGAACUAGUCCAGCAUAUUCUGGUUGGGUUCACCUUCUCUCUGAUCAUCCACCAUUGGCCACCUUUGGGUGACAUCU
rnacentral:lncRNA from 1 species